rnacentral:rRNA from 1 species
GAUCCUGGUUCAGAUUGAACGCUGGCGGCAGGCUUAACACAUGCAAGUCGAACGGUAACAUAAAGAAGCUUGCUUCUUUGAUGACGAGUGGCGGACGGGUGGGUAAUGCUUGGGAAUCUGGCUUAUGGAGGGGGGAUAACUACGGGAAACUGUAGCUAAUACCGCGUAAUAUCGAAAGAUUAAAGUGUGGGACCUUCGGGCCACAUGCCAUAGGAUGAGCCCAAGUGGGAUUAGGUAGUUGGUGAGGUAAGGG